rnacentral:rRNA from 1 species
GAUGAACGCUGGCGGCGUGCCUAAUACAUGCAAGUCGAGCGAACAGACGAGGAGCUUGCUCCUCUGACGUUAGCGGCGGACGGGUGAGUAACACGUGGAUAACCUACCUAUAAGACUGGGAUAACUUCGGGAAACCGGAGCUAAUACCGGAUAAUAUAUUGAACCGCAUGGUUCAAUAGUGAAAGACGGUUUUGCUGUUACUUAUAGAUGGAUCCGCGCCGCAUUAGCUAGUUGGUAAGGUAGCGGCUUACCAAGGCAACGAUGCGUAGCCGACCUGAGAGGGUGAUCGGCCACACUGGAACUGAGACACGGUCCAGACUCCUACGGGAGGCAGCAGUAGGGAAUCUUCCGCAAUGGGCGAAAGCCUGACGGAGCAACGCCGCGUGAGUGAUGAAGGUCUUCGGAUCGUAAAACUCUGUUAUUAGGGAAGAACAAAUGUGUAAGUAACUAUGCACGUCUUGACGGUACCUAAUCAGAAAGCCACGGCUAACUACGUG